rnacentral:tmRNA from 1 species
GGGGGUGUUCUGGUAUCGCCUGUAUAGUGAGUUCUCUGAUUGCGCUCCGGGGAUACUCUUUCACCCGUAAAACACUGGGUAAUAAAAUUAUCUGCAAACGAUAAUAGUUAUAUUCCAGCUGCUGCGUAAGCAGUCAGCUAGCGCCCACUGCAGACGUGUCUGUCGUGUGUAACUGGGUGUCAUAAAAAGCAGACUUACCUUGCUCUAGCCGUCUGAAGGAGUAAGGGAAACUUGCCAGACUUGGCCUGUUAGAAUCUUGUCUACUGGAGUCUAACAGGUGAGACGAAAAAGUAGGCUAUGAGUGUAGAUAUCAGGGAACGAACUAUGCAGUACGUGGGUUCGAUUCCCACCACCUCCACCA